CGGGCUAUGGCGCAGCUGGCUAGCGCGCUUGCAUGGGGUGCAAGAGGUCGCGGGUUCAAAUCCCGCUAGCCCGA
rnacentral:tRNA from 1 species